rnacentral:rRNA from 1 species
CAUUAUGCCCAGCCUUCAACAAAAACGGUGCGUUACAUCCAUCCGUUCGCCUGGUUACUACGAGCUCAACAGUAUCGAAGCUUAAAACCCAAAGGACUUGGCGGUGCUUCAAACCCCCCUAGAGGAGCCUGUUCUCUAACCGAUGAUCCACGUUAAACCUCACCCUUUCUUGUAUUUUCAGCCUAUAUACCGCCGUCACCAGCUUACCCCCUGAGGGAAAUCGAAUGUGAGCUCAAUCGGCACCCAAUGCCCAGUAAGUCAGGUCGAGGUGUAGCGUAUGAAAGGGUAUGCGAUGGGCUACAUUCUCUACUUUAGAGAAUUACGGAAGGUUAUUCCCUGAAAUAGGAACCUGAAGGUGGAUUUAGCAGUAAGAGUCGGAGAAGAGCGCCCCUCUGAAGUAGGCAAUGAAGCGUGCACACACCGCCCGUCACUCUCUCCUAGCACCUUCGCCAUAAACUUCUAUAAACAACUAGAUACGCACAGGAGAGGCAAGUCGUAA